GCUGAGAUCACCUAAGGGCCGCCAAUAUAUAUAUACUAAUAGACAUCUGUCCCAAUCAACUAAUGUCCAGGUGGUCUGUGAUGCAAACUUAAAAAUUAUGAGUGUUGUUGCAGGUUACCCUGGUGGCUGCCAUGACUCCUUCAUCCUCAGUCAGUCAUCGCUCUUCGAUAAAUUUGAGGACGGACAAAUGCCUGAUGGCUGGCUGUUGGGUAUGUUUAAAAUGUUUUGUGUGUAUGUCUUUUAUCCACAAACUCGAGUUAUGAUUAGGUGAAAGAAUAAUCUAACAUAUGUACUAAUGUGGACUAUAUCUGUUUUUCAGGUGAUGGGGGUUACGGCUGCUACUCUUGGCUCCUUACUCCAUUGUCCCAACCUGAUUCUCCUGCUGAACACAGUUACAAUCAUGCACAUAAGGCUACGCGGAAUGUGAUAGAAAGAUGUUUUGGUGUGCUGAAGUCACGGUUUCGGUGUCUGGAUAAAUCUGCUGGCCUUUUGUUGUAUAGUCCCUCAAAGAUAACUGAGGGGAUCGGGGCUCAUCACUCUGCGAACUCGCCAAUAGUGCCAGUGGUGGCUGGGGUGACACUGCCGAAAGUCGUCGCCUGGGUGGGGAUGAUGGAGCCGCAGAUUCCGAGCCAAGACGCCGUGUCUUACUUGGCCUCCUGGAAUAUGUGACUACACUGAAGUCUUACCUGCAAUCCCAGCCUCAUCCUGACUUGUCUGAGGCCUGUCUGGCCGGCUGGUCUGUGGGACUGUUGAAAAAGUGUACCAAACAUUAUUACCAUGCUUUGUGUAAAAAAAACCCCUGCAAAGCCUUAUUGUACUGUAACCAUCUAUUAGGUAUUGGAUAAACAAAUAAUUUCUGAUUAA